rnacentral:tRNA from 1 species
UGUAGUUCAGUGGGUAGAGUGCUUGCCUGGCAUGUAUGAGGCCCUGGGCUCUAUUCCCAGCA